AGACAUUAAUCUUAAGUAUCCAGGGAGCCCUAAAACAUUGUAUCCCACUAGCAAGGACCAUGGUAAUUGCCACGUAAAUCCCCUCCAUUAUGUGGCCCUUAUUAUGACCAGCCAGCCAAGGCUUGCCUUUAAAUCAUACCAAUUGAACCGAGCCUUGUAGAAACACUAUCACCUACGCAUACCUCUGCUUCUUUUCAUUAACCUGCUAUCCUCUUUACAAAUGGGAUUCUUCACCCACUCCCUUCUUCUAGAUUAGCAAUGCCCUGUUAAGUAAACGAACACGAAAUUCAAAGGGAAACAGGAGCAAUCAUCAUUACCAGCUGCCGUGUUAAGCAUUGCGAAAACGCUCACGAUUCACAGAAAAAUCCAUGCUGUUCUUUGAAGGCAUUCAAGCCUUAAUAGCUAGCUGGAUGAAUGUUUAACUUCUAGGCCAGGCACUACUCUGUCCCAACAAUAAGCCCUGUACAUUGGGAAAGGUGCCGAGACAUGAACUUUGGUCUUCUCUGCAAUCCAUCUGGAGCAUUCACUGACAACAUCGACUUUGAAGUUGCACUGACCUGGCCAGCCCUGCCACUUACCAGGUUGGAUAACACUAACAAAGUUGACCUUAGAAUUGGAGUGCCUGGGUUAGAACCCUGCUGGUACCACCUGCUUACUGCAUGCUUCUGAUGUGAGUUCAGGAGAAGACACUGGCAAGGACAGCAAAGAACAGGAGAACACUCUAGCUUCCCUGAUAGCAUUCAAGGUGCUGUCCAAACUGACUGUGAUGGCACCCUCCAGACAGACAGCGAUGCCACAUGUUCAAGAUGGCAGAAUCACUAUCAGCUUCAAUUCCUGAAUGACUGCAGAGCAAAAUUUCUUACCUGCAACAUACACUCUAUUUUCAGCCUCCCUGGACUGUUACAUAAUGAUACAUAAAAAUAUUUCUUGUGUUGAGGCAUCCCAAAUUUGAUUUAUUUGUCAUCACAGUCUAUCCUAUGAAUAUAUUUCUGAUCCAAAUAAUGCUAGAUUCAUGAGAGUUUAUAGUCCAGAGAUUUUUUUUUUUUUUUUGAGACAGAAUCUGUCUCCCAGGCUGGGGUGCAGUGGCAUAAUCUUAGCUCACUGCAACCUCUGCCUCCCGGGCUCAAGUGAUCCUCCCUCCUUAGCCUCCAUGAGUAGCUGGGACCACAGGUGUGCACCACCACACCCCGCUAAUUAUUUUGUAUUUUUUGCAGAGGGGGGUUUCACCACAUUGCCCAAGCUGGUCUCAAACUCCUAGACUUAAGGGAUCUGCCUGCCUUGGCCUCCCAAAAUGCUGAAAUUACACUUGUUAGCCAUAGUAAUAGUUCCUAGCCAUAGUCCGGAGAUAUUUUAAAAACUUUAGUGUGAGUUAUUUCUCUUUGCUAUAAUUCUCUCAUGCAUUUUGAAAACCUUUUCUGCCAUACAGUGGUUUUUGGGAAGUCCUUUUGGACAGACAUAUCACAGGAUGGAGAAACUAAAAAGAGAGAAUGCAUUAAAGAAAAAAUAGUACUUCGUAUUUCAGAAAUUACAAAAGGGUGUCAUGCCCCACAGCAUGGUGGGCAGUCAUUUGUAACCCACAGAACAUUGAGUUUCUAAAAUUUGAGUGUUUUUAACUUACGAAGGCCAACUUUACUGAUGAAGUGAUUACCCCAAAUAUGUGAAAUCCAUAUUUCAAGUACAAUAGUAGGAAAUUGGAAAUGGAUAGUUCAUUGUCAGUGUAUGAAAAACCUACUGAUUUUUUACGUUGAUUUUAUAUACUGCAACUUUAUUGAAUUCUCAACAAAUGGUGUUGAAAAAACUGGAUGUCCUCAUGAAGAAGAAUGAAAUUGAACACAUCACAUCCCAUAUACAAGAAUCAACUCAAAAUAUUUCCAAAUUCAAACAUUAUGAAGUUUGAGCUAUUUAGGAAGUUAAGGAGAUAAUCAGAUCAUUUCGUCAGACACCCUUAAGGCACUGAUGCUCUCAGUUGAUCUAGCAAAUAGGCAUCUGUCACAGAAAAUAGAGAAGAUAUCCCAAGAGAAGAGGAGAAACUCCACAAUGUGAAGAGAUUUCCAGAGGCAUCAGCACUCCGUCUGUCACUAUUGGCAUCCUGUGACAUGGUUUAGUUUAUGCGUGCUGGUUAGGCUGAUUUACAUAAUACAUUAUCUAGUUAUACCUUAAAUAAACCUCAAAACU
rnacentral:lncRNA from 1 species